GACGAACGCUGGCGGCGUGCUUAACACAUGCAAGUCGAACGGAAAGGCCCUGCUUUUGUGGGGUGCUCGAGUGGCGAACGGGUGAGUAACACGUGAGUAACCUGCCCUUGACUUUGGGAUAACUUCAGGAAACUGGGGCUAAUACCGGAUAGGAGCUCCUGCUGCAUGGUGGGGGUUGGAAAGUUUCGGCGGUUGGGGAUGGACUCGCGGCUUAUCAGCUUGUUGGUGGGGUAGUGGCUUACCAAGGCUUUGACGGGUAGCCGGCCUGAGAGGGUGACCGGCCACAUUGGGACUGAGAUACGGCCAAGACUCCUACGGGAGGCAGCAGUGGGGAAUAUUGCACAAGGGGCGGAAGCCUGAUGCAGCAACGCCGCGUGCGGGAUGACGGCCUUCGGGUUGGAAACCGCUUUCGCCUGUGACGAAGCGUGAGUGACGGUAAUGGGUAAAGAAGCACCGGCUAACUACGUGC
rnacentral:rRNA from 1 species